GGACUGAUCCAGUAUUUGGGACCUGUUUUGGCGUUAAACUGCAGAUGAUUUGUUUCCUUUCUAAAUGCCCUUGGUUUUGAAGGGUUCUCAAUAUUAUUGUUUUAUACGGAUUUAUGAUUAUUUUGUUCUCUUUGGUUGUCUCAGAUAUGAUAGAGAAUACAAGAAGAGUCUAGUCAAUGGGUAUUUUCUGUGGCUGAUGGUUGGUUAUGGAUUUGGCCUCUUUUUUACAUACAUAGGGUUAUAUCUGAUGAAUGGGAACGGUCAGCCUGCACUCCUCUAUCUUGUUCCUUGCACGCUAGUAGUUAUAGUUAUAUUAGGCUUGAUAAGAGGAGAGUUGAAA